rnacentral:rRNA from 2 species
CAGGUUGAUAGGUUCGAGGUGGAAGUGUGGCGACACAUGGAGCUGACGAAUACUAAUCGAUCGAGGACUUAACCAAA